rnacentral:tRNA from 1 species
AACGAGUUCAUAAACAAGUCUUCUAAAUUUGUUCUAGGCUUAGCCUGCUCGUUU